UCCUCAUUAGUCUAGUGGUUAGGAUAUCGGCUUUUCACGCCGAGGGCCGGGGUUCAAUUCCCCGAUGGGGAA